UUAUUUUUUAGGUAUUAUACAAGACUAAGAAAUUGGAAUGUAACAAUGUCUACUGUUCUUGGUGUUGAUGGAGAAGAAUAUUAUAACGUGAUAGAACACAUGUGUUUUCCUGCUUAUUUAUAAUCAAGUUAGUAUAGCAAACUGGCUAUGGGAUAGUAUAAACAUAAUGAGGUUUCGCUUUAAAGAUCGUAUUAGAAUCAAGUUUUGAAUAGCUGCACUGAAACAAGAUAAGUUUUUAUUAUAACAUUUUUUUAUUGUUAUUUUUAUAGUUUUUUAUUUUUUAACUAUUCUACCUUUUUAUUUUAGCUUUCCUACUAUUGACAUAUGGUUUUAAUUUAGUAAAUUUUUAUGUUUUUAAAUUUACUUUAUUGAUUAUAAGAUAACAGUUUAGAAAAAGAAAUUUAACACAAUUAGGGUAAGAAAUUAGCUUUUAACAUAACAAAACCUGGUUUUACUGUAAAUUCUUAUGCUAUUCUUAGUUUAAUUAUAUGUCAAAUGUUAAUAAUGAUAAUCUUUAUUAUUUCUUUUAACUAACUUUAUUUAAAAACUUUGGUAUAUAAAAUUCGCCGAAUGGUCACACACGAGCAGUGAACAGAGGAAAGAAACAUUAGAAUAAAGAAGAAUUAUUUAUCGAACGAAGCAUAUUUUGACAGUUGUCAAGACAAAAAUAAAGAUUAAUAGAGGAAAAUUUCAAAACAAGUAAGACAGACAACACAUCCAAGCAGUACUCACAAUAACAAUAACAAAAAAUU